rnacentral:rRNA from 1 species
GGGUUGUGAGGUUAAGCGACUAAGCGUACACGGUGGAUGCCCUGGCAGUCAGAGGCGAUGAAGGRCGUGCUAAUCUGCGAUAAGCGCCGGUAAGGUGAUAUGAACCGUUAUAACCGGCGAUACCCGAAUGGGGAAACCCAGUGUGAYUCGUCACACUAUCAUUAACUGAAUCCAUAGGUUAAUGAGGCGAACCGGGGGAACUGAAACAUCUAAGUACCCCGAGGAAAAGAAAUCAACCGAGAUUCCCCCAGUAGCGGCGAGCGAACGGGGAGGAGCCCAGAGCCUGAAUCAGCAUGUGUGUUAGUGGAAGCGUCUGGAAAGGCGCGCGAUACAGGGUGACAGCCCCGUACACAAAAGCGCAUGUGCUGUGAGCUCGAUGAGUAGGGCGGGACACGUGGUAUCCUGUCUGAAUAUGGGGGGACCAUCCUCCAAGGCUAAAUACUCCUGACUGACCGAUAGUGAACCAGUACCGUGAGGGAAAGGCGAAAAGAACCCCGGCGAGGGGAGUGAAAAAGAACCUGAAACCGUGUACGUACAAGCAGUGGGAGCACAGGUUUACCUGUGUGACUGCGUACCUUUUGUAUAAUGGGUCAGCGACUUAUAUUCUGUAGCAAGGUUAACCGWAUAGGGGAGCCGGAGGGAAACCGAGUCUUAAYYGGGCGUUAAGUUGCAGGGUAUAGACCCGAAACCCGGUGAUCUAGCCAUGGGCAGGUUGAAGGUUGGGUAACACUAACUGGAGGACCGAACCGACUAAUGUUGAAAAAUUAGCGGAUGACCUGUGGCUGGGGGUGAAAGGCCAAUCAAACCGGGAGAUAGCUGGUUCUCCCCGAAAGCUAUUUAGGUAGCGCCUCGUGAAUUCAUCUCCGGGGGUAGAGCACUGUUUCGGCUAGGGGGCCAUCCCGGCUU